GGAACCUAUCGUAUGUGAAUAAGCAGAGCUAGGGGAGGGAAAACAGGAUUCUGGAGUAAAAGGGAAAGUUCUUUUCAUUUCACUCAACCUACUUUCCCUUUUCCUUCCCAGAUGCCUUUCUUUUCUUUCUGUGAUUCCAGUUGAUGUGUUUAUGUAAUUGUGGUCUGCAAGGCCUUGGGACAGGCACCUGAGAAUGAAGAAGGCAGUUUCUUGUAUUUUAAAAGUGAAAGAAAAAUAACUAGACCUCGGACAACAGAGACAUAGGUAGAGCUCUGACGCAGGGGUCAACUGGAGGUAAGUGUUAAAAGUGACUUGUGGUA
rnacentral:lncRNA from 1 species